rnacentral:rRNA from 1 species
UACGAGGGGGGCAAGCGUUGUUCGGAAUCAUUGGGCGUAAAGAGCGUGUAGGCGGCUUGUUAAGUCUUGCGUGAAAUCUCGGGGCUCAACCCCGAGCGGUCGUGAGAAACUGGCAGGCUAGAGUGCGGGAGAGGAGAGUGGAAUUCCUGGUGUAGCGGUGAAAUGCGCAGAUAUCAGGAAGAACACCCGUGGCGAAGGCGGCUCUCUGGAACGCAACUGACGCUGAGACGCGAAAGCGUGGGGAGCAAACAGG